UGGCAUUCUAUAUAUGGACCUAUGUCUACAACAUCCUCCAACCACAUGGGAUCAAACAUAAUACCACAAAGGGCAGCCUAGAAUCUGAAGCUCAACUUGCAGUGCCUCUCAUUGUGUUUGAAGAUAUGGAGAAGAUUUCUCUUGUAAUUUCCUCUUUCUUUUUGUUUUUAUUGUUUUCAAUGUUCAACAGGAACCUUUUGUUAGAAAAAUGAAACAACAUAUCAAUAUCUGGGUAGAAAGGAUCAAUUUGAAAAUGCUAUUUGCAUCUUCAACUAUUGCGACGAUUUUUGGAAUCUUGAUUUGUGUAGUGUCAUUGUUAAGAAAGCUGAUGAUCGGAAAUCAAGCUCCAUUGCACGUAAUUCAUAGCUCUGCAUCUCUGCUAGCAGAGGCUACAAUACCAGCUGUGAUAUUGAUAGUUAGAGCAAAUCUUCUUAGAGGUGCUAUCCUUAAAAUCGAUGUAUAUGUUUCCUUUCAACUUACAGAUCUUGGCCACUAAAUUUCUUCUUCAAAUUCUUUUUAAUUUUCUUUUUUAGAUUUUCAGAUUAAUUUUCUGGUACUAAUUUAAAUUGGAAGUCUUAAAAAAUCAGAAAUUGGGAUGUGGGUUGUAAUAGGAGUUCAGGUAGUGAGGUAUGUUGCCUUGCCAUUAUGUGGCAUUGUUGUUGUGAAAGCUGCACGUUAUUUUGGGUUGGUGGGAUCAGAUCCCUUGUACCACUUUGUUCUUCUAUUGCAAUAUGCACUCCCUUCUGCAAUGACUAUAGGUACAAUUACACAGGUGUUUGGAGUUGGGGAAAGUGAAUGCUCACUGAUCAGGCUAUGGAAUUAUUUAGUGGCAUCAAUUGCUCUUACAAUCUGGACGAGUU